rnacentral:rRNA from 1 species
UACGGGGGGAGCAAGCGUUGUUCGGAUUUACUGGGCGUAAAGGGCGCGUAGGCGGCCAGCACAAGUCAGUUGUGAAAUCUCCGAGCUUAACUCGGAACGGUCAACUGAUACUGUGCGGCUAGAGUGCAGAAGGGGCAACUGGAAUUCUUGGUGUAGCGGUGAAAUGCGUAGAUAUCAGGAGGAACACCUGCGGUGUAGACGGCUUUCUGGACCAUAACUGACGCUGAGAUACGAAAGCGUGGGUAGCAAACAGG